rnacentral:lncRNA from 1 species
GAAAUUAUAUUUGGGAAAGCAGUUAAUGUAUUAGACUACAGUAUAUCAACAAACUAUAAAAGCAGUGUUGGGUGUAUUUCUAAACAGAAACUUCAUAUUUUUAGUUGUCUAACAAAUAUUUAUUAAUGAGUAAUUGUUUUUUUCAUGUUUUAUUAAUUAGAUACCAGUUAGGCCUUCUGGUCAACAUAAUUUACCAGAGUUAUAUAAUUUACCCCCCCCAAACAACCUUUAUUUCAUGUAUAUUUUAGUUUUAUUUAGAUAUUGAAAGUAAGAACCUCUCUGUACACACACGUAUACAUAUAUAUGUACAUAUAUUUCAUAUGUAUAUAUAUAUAUUUUUUUUGAUAGAGGUAUGGAUAUGCUAGAAUGGGAAGAAGUUGGAAUCAGUCUAGACGAGGAUUUCUCACCUUCAGCACUACUGACAUUUUAGACCAGAAAAAUCUUUGUUUUGCUGUACUGUUCUGCUAUUCUAGUAUGUUUGGCAGCUUCCUUGUCUUCUCCCUACAGAUGCCAGCGCCCCCCUUUGGCCUAUCACCAGUUGUGACAACCCGAAAUAGAUACAGACAUUGCUUGUAUGCCUUGGGCAAAAUUACCCCUUAUUGAUAAGUACUGGUCAUCCUUGGUUUCUGUUUCUGCCUCUUCUCUACAUCCAGAAAGACCCUAUUGACUGUAAUGCCAAUGCAUAUUCUAAAUUUCAUUACUUUUGCCCCUACUGCUCCCACCCUAACACAAGUUACCAUCACUUCAUUUCUGGAUGGUUAAGCAGCAUUUUAGUUCUUCUGCUCUUACAUAUCUUAAAUUUGCUUUUUAAAAAAUUAUGAAAUUUGGUACAGAAAUUUAUGGUAAUACAUACGGUUUCAAAAGUAACAAGCACCCAUGUAUCCAUUCUAUAGGAAUAUUAUCCAAGAAAUAAACCAUUAUGGGUAUUUUUGAAGCUUGAGAGGUACCUCUUCCUGAUGAUUUUACAAUUCAUUCCUCAUACAGAAGGUUAAUAUUUUUUUUUUUUAGAAAACAAAUCAGGUCUGGCCUAUAUAUUUCCAAUUGCACUUUAAAUUCUCUUCUUAGAAUGGCCUGGGGGUUCCAUGUAAUUGGGCCACUGUGUCUAAAACUAACUCCACUCCAAGUAUUUGUCUGCUUUGCUAUUCAAGAACUUCCUGCCUGUGGAACCUUGUACUUGUUUUUUCCUUUGCCAAUAUGCUCUUCAGGUGCUACUCCUUGGACCAUUCUGAUCUUGCGAUUCUGUACUUACUGUCUGAUACCAUGUUCUCUUUAUGGCAUUUAUCUGAAAUAAUUUUUUCUUUUACGUGUAAACUUCUUUAUGCCUCUCUUUCAUUAAAACAUAAAUUUCUAGAGAGCAGGGAUUUUGUCUCUACCUAGCUUAUAGUUUUGGCACUCUGUAUUUGUUGAAUGAAUGCAUGCUGAAAAAAACUCAGCUUUUCCAUUUUAGGUGUUUUUUUUUUCCCCCCUUAGUACUAGAGAUUGAAUCCAGGGAUGUUCAACCACUGAGCCACCUACCCCUUUUAAUUUUUUAAUUUUGAGACACAGUCUGGCUAAGUUGCUUAGGACCUCACUAAAUUGCUGAGACUGGCAAUCCUCCUGCAUGGGCCUCCCAAGUUUCUGGGAUUACAGGCAUGUGCCACUGCACCUGGCUUAGUUGAUUUUUUGAUGUUGGGCAGGUGGCUUAAUAUGUGUUUCUGAUUUCACAUCUACAUAGUGAUCAUAAUCUACUUUAUCAUCCUUGAAUGAGCUAUAUCUGUAAGCUCUUCAGAAAUCAUAAAGUGCUAUGCAAAUAGGAGUUAAAAUAUGCAAUUUGCAUAUUUUAAAUAUGGCUCAAAUAUAAAUUGUGGCUCAAUGGUCUAGCACAUGUGAGGCGCUGGGUUCAAUCUUCAGCACCACAUAUAAAUAAAUAAAGGCAUUGUAUCCAGCUACAACUAAAAAAAAUAUUUUUAAAAAUGCAGUUUAUUUUUUGGUAUUGCAUGAUCAGGAAAAAAUAAGCAUGUAGUCCACUUAAUAUAUACAAGUAUAUUUAAAUACU